GGUUAAGCGACUAAGCGUACACGGUGGAUGCCCUGGCAGUCAGAGGCGAUGAAGGACGUGCUAAUCUGCGAAAAGCGCCGGCGAGGUGAUAUGAACCUUUGACCCGGCGAUGUCCGAAUGGGGAAACCCAGUGUGUUCCGACACACUAUCGUUAACUGAAUACAUAGGUUAACGAGGCGAACCGGGGGAACUGAAACAUCUAAGUACCCCGAGGAAAAGAAAUCAACCGAGAUUCCCCCAGUAGCGGCGAGCGAACGGGGAGCAGCCCAGAGUCUGAAUCAGCUUGUGUGUUAGUGGAAGCGUCUGGAAAGUCGCACGGUACAGGGUGACAGUCCCGUACACGAAAAUGCACAGGUUGUGAACUCGAAGAGUAGGGCGGGACACGUGGUAUCCUGUCUGAAUAUGGGGGGACCAUCCUCCAAGGCUAAAUACUCCUGACUGACCGAUAGUGAACCAGUACCGUGAGGGAAAGGCGAAAAGAACCCCGGCGAGGGGAGUGAAAAAGAACCUGAAACCGUGUACGUACAAGCAGUGGGAGCACCUUCGUGGUGUGACUGCGUACCUUUUGUAUAAUGGGUCAGCGACUUAUAUUCUGUAGCAAGGUUAACCGUAUAGGGGAGCCGAAGGGAAACCGAGUCUUAACUGGGCGUUAAGUUGCAGGGUAUAGACCCGAAACCCGGUGAUCUAGCCAUGGGCAGGUUGAAGGUUGGGUAACACUAACUGGAGGACCGAACCGACUAAUGUUGAAAAAUUAGCGGAUGACUUGUGGCUGGGGGUGAAAGGCCAAUCAAACCGGGAGAUAGCUGGUUCUCCCCGAAAGCUAUUUAGGUAGCGCCUCGUGAACUCAUCUUCGGGGGUAGAGCACUGUUUCGGCUAGGGGGCCAUCCCGGCUUACCAACCCGAUGCAAACUACGAAUACCGAAGAAUGUUAUCACGGGAGACACACGGCGGGUGCUAACGUCCGUCGUGAAGAGGGAAACAACCCAGACCGCCAGCUAAGGUCCCAAAGUCAUGGUUAAGUGGGAAACGAUGUGGGAAGGCACAGACAGCCAGGAUGUUGGCUUAGAAGCAGCCAUCAUUUAAAGAAAGCGUAAUAGCUCACUGGUCGAGUCGGCCUGCGCGGAAGAUGUAACGGGGCUAAACCAUGCACCGAAGCUGCGGCAGCGACGCGUAUGCGUUGUUGGGUAGGGGAGCGUUCUGUAAGCCGUUGAAGGUGGCCUGUGAGGGUUGCUGGAGGUAUCAGAAGUGCGAAUGCUGACAUAAGUAACGAUAAAGCGGGUGAAAAGCCCGCUCGCCGGAAGACCAAGGGUUCCUGUCCAACGUUAAUCGGGGCAGGGUGAGUCGACCCCUAAGGCGAGGCCGAAAGGCGUAGUCGAUGGGAAACAGGUUAAUAUUCCUGUACUUGGUGUUACUGCGAAGGGGGGACGGAGAAGGCUAUGUUAGCCGGGCGACGGUUGUCCCGGUUUAAGCAUGUAGGCGGAGGUUCCAGGUAAAUCCGGUACCUUUUAACGCUGAGGUGUGAUGACGAGGCACUACGGUGCUGAAGUAACAAAUGCCCUGCUUCCAGGAAAAGCCUCUAAGCAUCAGGUAACAUCAAAUCGUACCCCAAACCGACACAGGUGGUCAGGUAGAGAAUACCAAGGCGCUUGAGAGAACUCGGGUGAAGGAACUAGGCAAAAUGGUGCCGUAACUUCGGGAGAAGGCACGCUGAUAUGUAGGUGAAGCCCCUGCGGGUGGAGCUGAAAUCAGUCGAAGAUACCAGCUGGCUGCAACUGUUUAUUAAAAACACAGCACUGUGCAAACACGAAAGUGGACGUAUACGGUGUGACGCCUGCCCGGUGCCGGAAGGUUAAUUGAUGGGGUUAGCGGUAACGCGAAGCUCUUGAUCGAAGCCCCGGUAAACGGCGGCCGUAACUAUAACGGUCCUAAGGUAGCGAAAUUCCUUGUCGGGUAAGUUCCGACCUGCACGAAUGGCGUAAUGAUGGCCAGGCUGUCUCCACCCGAGACUCAGUGAAAUUGAACUCGCUGUGAAGAUGCAGUGUACCCGCGGCAAGACGGAAAGACCCCGUGAACCUUUACUAUAGCUUGACACUGAACACUGGUCCUUGAUGUGUAGGAUAGGUGGGAGGCUUUGAAGUGUGGACGCCAGUCUGCGUGGAGCCGUCCUUGAAAUACCACCCUUUAAUGGCUGGUGUUCUAACGUAGACCCGUGAUCCGGGUUGCGGACAGUGUCUGGUGGGUAGUUUGACUGGGGCGGUCUCCUCCCAAAGAGUAACGGAGGAGCACGAAGGUUAGCUAAUCCUGGUCGGACAUCAGGAGGUUAGUGCAAUGGCAUAAGCUAGCUUGACUGCGAGAGUGACGGCUCGAGCAGGUGCGAAAGCAGGUCAUAGUGAUCCGGUGGUUCUGAAUGGAAGGGCCAUCGCUCAACGGAUAAAAGGUACUCCGGGGAUAACAGGCUGAUACCGCCCAAGAGUUCAUAUCGACGGCGGUGUUUGGCACCUCGAUGUCGGCUCAUCACAUCCUGGGGCUGAAGUAGGUCCCAAGGGUAUGGCUGUUCGCCAUUUAAAGUGGUACGCGAGCUGGGUUUAGAACGUCGUGAGACAGUUCGGUCCCUAUCUGCCGUGGGCGCUGGAGAAUUGAGGGGGGCUGCUCCUAGUACGAGAGGACCGGAGUGGACGCAUCACUGGUGUUCGGGUUGUCAUGCCAAUGGCACUGCCCGGUAGCUAAAUGCGGAAAAGAUAAGUGCUGAAAGCAUCUAAGCACGAAACUUGCCCCGAGAUGAGUUCUCCCUGAGACUUUAAGUCUCCUGAAGGAACGUUGAAGACGACGACGUUGAUAGGUCGGGUGUGUAAGCGCAGCGAUGCGUUGAGCUAACCGAUACUAAUGAACCGUGAGGCUUAACCUU
rnacentral:rRNA from 1 species